GGGGGAUAUUGCACAAUGGAGGAAACUCUGAUGCAGCGACGCCGCGUGAGGGAAGAAGGUCUUCGGAUUGUAAACCUCUGUCUUUGGGGACGAAGAAAGUGAAGGUACCCAAAGAGGAAGCCACGGCUAACUACGUGCCAGCAGCCGCGGUAAUACGUAGGUGGCGAGCGUUGUCCGGAAUUACUGGGCGUAAAGCGUGCGUAGGCGGUUCGUUAAGUCCGAUGUGAAAGCCCUGGGCUCAACCUGGGAACUGCAUUGGAUACUGGCGAGCUAGAGUGCGGUAGAGGAUGGUGGAAUUCCCGGUGUAGCGGUGAAAUGCGUAGAGAUCGGGAGGAACACCAGUGGCGAAGGCGGCCAUCUGGACCAGCACUGACGCUGAGGCACGAAAGCGUGGGGAGCAAACA
rnacentral:rRNA from 1 species